UGGAAAUUCAGGCUAUAAGCUUUAUGUGAUUUAAAUUUAGCUACUCACACUAAAAAUAUUCCCUUCAUCUUUUUUAUCUUCAACUCAUUACCAUUGCAAAAUCCUCUAAGCAAGCACACUCUCAUACUGAGUCACCUGCUGUAGUCUACGAAGCUCUGAUCGCUGUGGUUUGUGUUUAGGUCCAUCUGCAGAGGAUUGCAGGGUCUGGGAAAUGUUACACUCUGUACUCUUCUCCAACAUUUUCAUUAAGAAUAAAUAUUUGUAAAUCAUUAUCAAGAACAGCAUUCAAGGGGAAAACCAGGCUAAAUGACACAGUGUAAAUAAGAGGUUUGUACAGAAAUGGGUACUAAGUUUUAGAGGCAAGCAGACAGCCCCAAGUCUGAAUUGGAAUGCCUUUUUUUUAUUUUUUUAUUUUUUAUUUAUUUUUUUAUUAUUAUUACACUUUAAGUUCUAGGGUACAUGUGCAUAACGUGCAGGUUUGUUACAUAUGUAUACAUGUGCCAUGUUGGUGUGCUGCCCCCAUUAACUCGUCAUUUACAUUAGGUAUAUCUCCUAAUGCUAUUCCUCCCUCCUCCCCCAUCCCCACAAUAGGCCCCGGUGUGUGAUGUUCCCUUUCCUGUGUCGAAGUGACCUCACUGUUCAAUUCCCACCUAUGAGUGAGAAUAUGUGGUGUCUGGUUUUCUGUUCUUGCGAUAGUUUGCUGAGAAUGAUGGUUUCCAGAUGUAUAUAUGUCCCUACAAGGGACAUGAACUCAUCCUUUUUUAUGGCUGCAUAGUAUUCCAUGGUGUAUAUGUGCCACAUUUUCUUAAUCCAGUCUGUCACUGACGGACAUUUGGGUUGAUUCCAAGUCUUUGCUAUUGUGAAUAGUGCUGCAAUAAACAUACGUGUGCAUGUGUCUUUAUAGCAGCAUGAUUUAUAAUCCUUUGGGUAUAUACCCAGUAAUGGGAUGGCUGGGUCAAAUGGUAUUUCUAGUUCUUUAUCCUUGAGGAAUCGCCACACUGUCUUCCACAAUGGUUGAACUAGGAACUUGGAUUUCUAAAGUUGCCUGCUUGGCCCUUUUCCAAGUGUACUUUACUUCCUUUCAUUCCUGCUCUAAAAAAAUUUUUUUGAUGUCUAACCAAGUAACUGUUAUGUAUUUAUUUGUAUACAAUAAAAGGGUCAUGAAAAUUCUGUGUUGGGAAUCACAUCCAUGUUGCUUUCACACGUAAAUAAGUAUUAUUUUGAACAGGAGAACAUUAGUUAUAUCCUGAUUAAUGCAAUACAUACUUUCUUUGGCAGGUAUUUCCUCUGCUUUAAUAGACAAUUUCAGAAAGACAUGUUAAGGGGGAAAAAUCACAUAAUACUAAGGAUCUGAGGGCCAUAAACAUCACAUAUGUUGAGUUUGCUUUUAUUUUGUUUCCAACAGCUCUUAACCAAUGUCCCUGGCUAUAAUCUAGGUGCUAGAUGCGUUGCAAAUCCUUGAAAGUGUUUAAGAUGAAAGAGCAAUACACUUAAGAUCUUCAAAAGUUUACAUUAACAGAAUAAGCAUUAGCUCCUUUUAACACACACAACUAAAUUAACAAAUAAAUGUGUCUACUUUUAUAUAUGCCCAUAAAGCAGACUUAACAUUGAAAUUUACUAUUUUAGAUUUUCACUCCUUUAAGAGCUAUCAAUAUAGACGCAAAAGAUAGUUCACAUUUGAAAAAUUAUCUAUCUGAAGAAUAGAACCCUUAAGAGGAAAAAGAACAAGUCAUUUUACAAACUGCAACUGAAAUAGGGGAGAGAGAAAAAAAAAAAAAAACAAGUUAGAUCAAUGCGGCAACAAGCUUCCUGCCAAAACUUUUAUUGGUGACAUUUGAAAAACAAUUUUCUUAAAAUACUAUUAAUGAACAGUAUGUUGUGUUUCUCUAUUUUUACUAAUAGUUACACUACAAACUAAUGUUCAGCUCAAAUAAAUAUGUAAGAUAUGAAAUCAGAUACUAAUGUAUCAACUUAUUCUGCAGGAUAAACCUCCCCUAUACCAACCACAGGAUUACAGUUUUUCUUCUGUUUAAAACUAGGAUGUUCAGUAGAAAUGGGGUUUCUAUUUGCAGUAUUAUUACAAACCAGUUUCCUCUCACAAAUAGCUAAUAUCUAAGACCAUGACUCAAACUAUCAAAUAGGAAUAGAAAGAGAACACUCAGUUUUGAACACAAAUAGAAAAAGCUCCUAAGAAUCUUCUUUAUAGGCCACUGCUUGCUUUCAGUAAAAAUAACAUUUUCUUAAAACUUUUCAAUCUAAUUUUUAAUAGCUUGUACUUUUUAGCUACUGACAAAGCUUAUUUAUUCCUCCUUAAUCAUUUGCUCAAGUGUUAAACGAGCUUAGUUUACCAAAGUAACAACUUUUUGUCUGUGGUAUACUUCAAAAAUUAGUCGCCCUACAAUGUAGUGUCUUCAAAUUAAACAGAUGUAUACAGUUAAAAUAAUUAGUGUAGUCUCUAUAAACAAUUUCUGUUCUGGGAUUUACAUGUAGAGCUAAUGUUUACUUCAGAAUAAAACAUUGACAAACAGGGAAGGCAGAGAAUCAGAACUUCCACAGAGCUGUGCUUGACCAUAUCUUAUAGACAAAGCAGAAUUACAAUGCAUGUAACAAAAAUGUUACAAGUUUUUUUUUUUUUUAAGUUGAUAGUUACAAAUAUGGUACAUAACAAUUUUCUACUUUAUUUCAGUACAAUUUUCAACAUACAGUCUACUAUUUCUCAAGAUAUUUGAAGACUUAAAACAAAAUUUCUAUAGACUACUUGCAAACAGUAAAAUCUAAGUAAAAUGCUUACAUUCUUACUCGAAAACAAAAAUCAGGUAAAAAAAAAUGGUGGGUGCAAGUUCUGCUCUGUUGUAAUCUUACUUCAUAUCUGUUAUUCCUUUUCUUCCUUGCACCUGUCCUUCUUUUCUUCAUUAUAUUCCACGGUCUCUUCUUUAUCUCCAACAAUCCCAUCCUUUUGGUAUCUGUCAUGAGUCCAUUUAGGACUGCUAACUGAUUUUUUGAAGUUAAAGCGCCCUCUGCCACAUUGAAAAGUACCACGACCUUUUCUUCUUUUGGCCCAAUAAUCCACACCAUCAUCUCUGUCGUCAUGCAAGAAGUACUUUUUGCUCUUUGGGGUAUAUUCUGGAUCCUAUUCCUCUUCCUUCAGUCUCUUUUGAAUGGUAGUAUUUGAGUUGUUUGGACCAGUAUUUGUGCCAGCAAAAACUCCUCUGGCUCUUCCUCUGCCUCUAAUUCGAAAAAAGGUUCUUCAUGGUCAGCUAAUUCUUGCAAAACCUGAGUAUUCUUCCAUUUCAUGGUGAGUUUUAAAUUUUUCUUCUCUUUCCUUCUUACUCUCCUUUUCUUCUCU
ensembl:lncRNA